rnacentral:rRNA from 1 species
GCAGUCGCCGCGGGAAUACGUAGGUGGCAAGCGUUGUCCGGAAUUAUUGGGCGUAAAGGGCUCGCAGGCGGCUUCUUAAGUCUAAUGUGAAAGCCCCCGGCUCAACCGGGGAGGGUCAUUGGAAACUGGGAAACUUGAGUGCAGAAGAGGAGAGUGGAAUUCCACGUGUAGCGGUGAAAUGCGUAGAGAUGUGGAGGAACACCAGUGGCGAAGGCGACUCUCUGGUCUGUAACUGACGCUGAGGAGCGAAAGCGUGGGGAGCGAACAGGAUUAGAUACCCGUGUAGUCCCUGUCUCUUAUAA